GAUGAAGAACGCAGUGAAAUGCGAUAAGUAAUGUGAAUUGCAGAAUUCAGUGAAUCAUCGAAUCUUUGAACGCACCUUGCGCCCUUUGGCCAUUCCGAAGGGCAUGCCUGUUUGAGUAUCAUGAACACCUCAACUCUUUAUGGUUUUCCAUGAUGAGCUUGGACUCUGGGGGUUUUGCUGGCUCACAGUCGGCUCCUCUAAAAUGAAUCAGCUUACCAGUGUUUGGUGGGUAUCAUGGGUGUGAUAACUAUCUACGCUUGUGGUUUUUCCACCAGGUAACCUUCAGCAGUGGAGGUUCGCUGGAGCUCAUAGAUGUCUCUCCUCAGUGAGGACAGCCCUUUGAAUGUUUGAUCUCAAAUCAGGUAGGACUACCCGCUGAACUUAAGCAUAUCAAUAAGCGGAGGA
rnacentral:misc_RNA from 1 species